rnacentral:rRNA from 1 species
AUACGUAGGGGGCGAGCGUUGUCCGGAAUUACUGGGCGUAAAGGGUGCGUAGGCGGCUUCAGAAGUCAGGUGUGAAAUACCGUGGCUCAACUACGGGGGUGCAUUUGAAACUUUGAAGCUUGAGUGCAGGAGAGGAAAGUGGAAUUCCUAGUGUAGCGGUGAAAUGCGUAGAGAUUAGGAGGAACACCAGUGGCGAAGGCGACUUUCUGGACUGUAACUGACGCUGAUGCACGAAAGCGUGGGUAGCGAACAGGAUUAGAUACCCUGGUAGUCCACGCCGUAAACGAUGGAUACUAGGUGUAGGAGGUAUCGACCCCUUCUGUGCCGUAGUUAACGCAAUAAGUAUCCCGCCUGGGGAGUACGUGCGCAAGCAUGAA